UCCCUUGUAGCUCAGUUGGUAAAGAAUCUGCCUGCGAUGCAGGAAACCCGGGUUUGAUCCCUGGGUCGGGAA
rnacentral:tRNA from 1 species